rnacentral:rRNA from 1 species
GACGAACGCUGGCGGCGUGCUUAACACAUGCAAGUCGAACGCUGAAGCUCAGCUUGCUGGGCGGAUGAGUGGCGAACGGGUGAGUAACACGUGAGUAACCUGCCCUCUUCUUUGGGAUAACGCCCGGAAACGGGUGCUAAUACUGGAUAUUCACUGAUUCUCGCAUGGGGGUUGGUGGAAAGGUUUUUUCUGGUGGGGGAUGGGCUCGCGGCCUAUCAGCUUGUUGGUGGGGUGAUGGCCUACCAAGGCUUUGACGGGUAGCCGGCCUGAGAGGGUGACCGGUCACAUUGGGACUGAGAUACGGCCCAGACUCCUACGGGAGGCAGCAGUGGGGAAUAUUGCACAAUGGGCGAAAGCCUGAUGCAGCGACGCCGCGUGAGGGAUGGAGGCCUUCGGGUUGUAAACCUCUUUCGCUCAUGGUCAAGCCGCAGCUUUGGGUUGUGGUGAGGGUAGUGGGUAAAGAAGCGCCGGCUAACUACGUG